AGGGAAUAUUGCGCAAUGGGCGAAAGCCUGACGCAGCGACGCCGCGUGAGUGAUGAAGGUCCUCUGGAUUGUAAAGCUCUGUAAGGAGGGAAGAACCGCCUGGUGUAACGGCCAGGUCUGACGGUACCUCCAAAGUAAGCACCAGCUAAAUAAGUGCCAGCAGCCGCGGUAAUACUUAUGGUGCGAGCGUUGUCCGGAAGACUGGGCGUAAAGGGUGCGUAGGCGGACUUUCAAGUCAGGUGUGAAAUCCCCGGGCUUAACCUGGGAACUGCGCUUGAAACUGGAAGUCUAGAGUAUGUGAGGGGUUAGCGGAAUUCCCGGAGUAGCGGUGAAAUGCGUAGAGAUCGGGAAGAACACCGGUGGCGAAGGCGGCUAACUGGCACAUGACUGACGCUGAGGCGCGAAAGCGUGGGGAGCGAACGGGAUUAGAUACCCCAGUAGUC
rnacentral:rRNA from 1 species